CUGCCUCUAAUCCUUCUCCCCAGUCUCACUGCAGUUCUUCCUGAUGGCUAUGAAUAGUUCUUCUGAAUGUCUGGGACCAGUCAACAGAUUCUUCUGGGGUCUCCUUGUUUGGAUUAUUUUAACCCAUCAGAAAAUUGAACGGGAUCCUGCAACCCUAUUGAAGAUAGCUGGCCUGCCAUGGAAGGGAAAACUCUGGGAUUUGUUUUAGUUUGCUGCCAAAGGUGAACCACCUCAGAUAGAGAAUGAGUGAUGGUUGGGUUUCCAAAAACAGUAAUGGUUUCUAAAGCUUGUCCUAGUGUAAGCCAACUGCAGUGCAUCCCUUUUCUUAGCUUACGAUACAUCACUUUGUCACUGUGAACAGUGCUGAUAUGCUUUUCGGCAGUGGAACAAAACUUACAGUAAUGGGGAAGAAUGAUGAAAUCAUACCUCCAGCUGUGGCCAUCUUUUCCCCAUCAAAGCAGGAGAUCCAGCAGAAGAGCAAGGCCACACUGGUGUGCCUGGCCUCUGGUUUCUACCCUGACCACCUGACUCUGGUCUGGAAGGUGAAUGGUGUGAAAAGGACAGAAGGGGUGGGGACAGACGAGUCCUCCACAAAGAAUGGGAGCACCUACUCACUGACCAGCCGACUGAGGAUGCCAGCCUGGGAAUGGUUCAACCCUUUGAAUCGCUUCGAGUGUGUUGCCAGUUUUUUUCAGAAUGGAACAACGCAAUCAAUAAACAAAUUUAUCCAUGGUGAUGCUGGUUGUGCGCUCACAGAAGAGUCGUACUUGCGAUAUGGAAAUUCUCUGAAGCUCACUUACCUCAUCCUGUGUGGCAAAGCCUUGGUCUACGCUGUUUUGGUCAGUGGUCUGGUGUGGACAGCCAAGACUGGUGUCAAAUUAUCUAGAGAAUAAAUGAAGAGCCCUUGUCAUCACAUCAGCAGGAGCACAACAAGUUGUCUACCUUUCCCUAGCAAAGUAUCUGUGCUUUUACGAACUUGUGAAGAUUAUUUUUUUAUAAUUCUCUGUUGCCAUGCUGUUCUUCACUUUGUUGUAAUCAUUGCUGAGUUUCUCCUGUACUUCCAUAU